UGGGGAAUCUUGCGCAAUGGGCGAAAGCCUGACGCAGCGACGCCGCGUGAGUGAUGAAGGCCUUCGGGUUGUAAAGCUCUGUGGAGGGGGACGAAUAAGGGUUGGCUAAUAUCCAACUUGAUGACGGUACCCCUUUAGCAAGCACCGGCUAACUCUGUGCCAGCAGCCGCGGUAAGACAGAGGGUGCAAACGUUGUUCGGAAUUACUGGGCGUAAAGCGCGUGUAGGCGGCCCGGAAAGUCGGAUGUGAAAGCCCUGGGCUUAACCUAGGAAGUGCAUUCGAAACUCCCGUGGCUUGAGUUCUGGAGAGGGAAGCGGAAUUCUCGGUGUAGAGGUGAAAUUCGUAGAUAUCGAGAGGAACACCGGUGGCGAAGGCGGCUUCCUGGACAGUGACUGACGCUGAGACGCGAAAGCGUGGGGAGCAAACAGGAUUAGAUACCCCCGUAGUCC
rnacentral:rRNA from 1 species